UCCCGCAAAAAUUCAUUUAAUUUCGCCCCCGCCCCGCCCACCGCGCCCGUCCCGCCGCCCCCGCCCGCCUACGGGAGGCAGCAGGGGGGAAUAUUGCACAAUGGGCGAAAGCCUGAUGCAGCAACGCCGCGUGAGGGAUGACGGCCUUCGGGUUGUAAACCUCUUUUAGCAGGGAAGAAGCGAAAGUGACGGUACCUGCAGAAAAAGCGCCGGCUAACUACGUGCCAGCAGCCGCGGUAAUACGUAGGGCGCAAGCGUUAUCCGGAAUUAUUGGGCGUAAAGAGCUCGUAGGCGGUUUGUCGCGUCUGCUGUGAAAUCCCGAGGCUCAACCUCGGGCCUGCAGUGGGUACGGGCAGACUAGAGUGCGGUAGGGGAGAUUGGAAUUCCUGGUGUAGCGGUGGAAUGCGCAGAUAUCAGGAGGAACACCGAUGGCGAAGGCAGAUCUCUGGGCCGUAACUGACGCUGAGGAGCGAAAGGGUGGGGAGCAAACAGGCUUAGAUACCCUGGUAGUCCACCCCGUAAACGUUGGGAACUAGUUGUGGGGACCAUUCCACGGUUUCCGUGACGCAGCUAACGCAUUAAGUCCCCGCCUGCGAUAACAACGAUGGG
rnacentral:rRNA from 1 species